AUGAACUAUUAUAGUAAACCUAAGACAAAACAAUACAAAUGAAAUGGAAACUCAAUAGUAAAACCACAAAUUUGGCAAAGAAGCAGAACCUCAUGAGAUUGAUCAAAGUGAUAACAGAUGUUAAUAUUUUCAGGUUUUAUAAUAGUAUUGGUAUUACUUUUUU